GCGGGCGGGCCUAACCAUCUGCACUCACACAAGCGCGCGGGCGGGCCCGACAAACUACAGGCUGACACACGCGGGCGGGAAUAUCUUAAAGCCGCAAACGGAGAUAAAUAGGGCGCCGACGGAUAUGAACAGGAGCGGGCGGGCCCGAGAAACAAAAACCAGCUUCACGGACUGACGAGCUUGGAACGGAGAAACAUAACAUUUAUACAGCGGGAGGGAAAUAGUUUAUUGAUACUGGAGAAUAGAGAAGACCAAUUAAUUUUGCCCACACUGCGCUGAAUCCAGUUACUAAUCGCCCGAUUAGGCUGCACUUUCCCAUAGUAAAGCCGCGCCCUCUGCUGGGGGAUUUCUGACUGUUGUGACGCGCGUGCACGAGCCCUACCCCACCCUUUAGUCAGACAAAGCAAGAGCGCGGGAACUGGGAGCGACUGUCUGAGAGGGCGGAGUUAAGAGCUGUCAGGGCGGGGGAAUUGUGGGUAGUUUGGAGACUGCCAGGCUACAGAAACAAUAAGAUUUUGAAUCCUGACAGAUGUGAGCUAAAUAAAUAUUAUAUUCCGCUGCAUUUCUGCCUUUACUCCGACCAGUACAGUGUCCCUAAUAAUAAUGAUCAGUAUGUAGAGCUUAAGCUCCCUCAAAACCUCAACAAAAUGGCGCUGGCCUGUACAGAUUUUAUAUUCUGAGGUAAAUUUGAGUCCAGAAUGACUGGAAAAUAUGUAAAAUGGUCUUGAACCGCUUUCUUUGCGUAUGAUACGUCCGGAGAUCCUUUGCUUGGUGUGUAGCCGAAAGGCAGCCUUUUGAGAGGGGUGUCAAAUGCAAAACUCCACGUCUAGUAACCCCUAGCAACGGACGUUUCUUGUCUUAUUGGUUCAUCAGGGUUGCCAGGUCUAAU